rnacentral:rRNA from 1 species
GACGAACGCUGGCGGCGUGCUUAACACAUGCAAGUCGAACGGAAAGGCCCUGCUUUUGUGGGGUGCUCGAGUGGCGAACGGGUGAGUAACACGUGAGUAACCUGCCCUUGACUUUGGGAUAACUUCAGGAAACUGGGGCUAAUACCGGAUAGGAGCUCCUGCUGCAUGGUGGGGGUUGGAAAGUUUCGGCGGUUGGGGAUGGACUCGCGGCUUAUCAGCUUGUUGGUGGGGUAGGUGCUUACCAAGGCUUUGACGGGUAGCCGGCCUGGGAGGGUGAACGGCCACCUGGGGACUGCGGUACGCACCAGAAGGCUACGGGAGGCAGUAGGGGGGAGUAUUGCGGAAUGGGGGGAAGCGUGAUGUAGCAACGUCGCGUUCGGGAUGACCGCUUUCGGGUUGUAAACCGCUUUCGCCUGUGCCGAAGAGGGAGUGACGGUAAUGGGUCAAGAAGCACCGGCUAACUACGUG